UACAUCCAAAACAUACACAUGUGAAAAACUCAUGACAUCGUGUGACAAAUAUGGACAUGUAUAUUAUAAAUAACAGCAUUGUAAAGAAAUGUACAUCCAAAAUAUUCACAAGUUAUAAAACACAUUGCAUUGUGUGACAAAUUUUGAUAUGUUUUAAAGCAGAACUGCAUUGUAAGGAAUUUAACAUAAGAAAGGAAAAAAGUACAGACAUAUGUGAAAAACAUUUUACAAUGUGCAACACAUUUGGACAUGUAUGUUAUGUUGGAUAAGAAAAGGAAAAUAACUGCAUGGUAAAAAAUAGUACAUGCAAAACAGAGAUGUGAAAAACACAAUACAUUGGGCGAGAAGUAUGGACUUGUAAAUUAUAACUUGUAAAGCAGGCACUUGUGUAAAACAGAUGAUGAACGUAACUAAACACUAG
rnacentral:sRNA from 1 species